rnacentral:rRNA from 1 species
GAUAUUCCCGUACCCGUGUGUGGGCGCCCGUGACGAAUCAGCGGUACUAACCACCCAAAACCGGAUCGAUCACUCCCCUUCGGGGGUGUGGAGUUCUGGGGCUGCGUGGGAACUUCGCUGGUAGUAGUCAAGCGAAGGGGUGACGCAGGAAGGUAGCCGUACCAGUCAGUGGUAACACUGGGGCAAGCCGGUAGGGAGAGCGAUAGGCAAAUCCGUCGCUCACUAAUCCUGAGAGGUGACGCAUAGCCGGUUGAGGCGAAUUCGGUGAUCCUCUGCUGCCAAGAAAAGCCUCUAGCGAGCACACACACGGCCCGUACCCCAAACCGACACAGGUGGUCAGGUAGAGCAUACCAAGGCGUACGAGAUAACUAUGGUUAAGGAACUCGGCAAAAUGCCCCCGUAACUUCGGGAGAAGGGGGACCGGAAUAUCGUGAACACCCUUGCGGUGGGAGCGGGAUCCGGUCGCAGAAACCAGUGAGGAGCGACUGUUUACUAAAAACACAGGUCCGUGCGAAGUCGCAAGACGAUGUAUACGGACUGACGCCUGCCCGGUGCUGGAAGGUUAAGAGGACCCGUUAACCCGCAAGGGUGAAGCGGAGAAUUUAAGCCCCAGUAAACGGCGGUGGUAACUAUAACCAUCCUAAGGUAGCGAAAUUCCUUGUCGGGUAAGUUCCGACCUGCACGAAUGGCGUAACGACUUCUCAACUGUCUCAACCAUAGACUCGGCGAAAUUGCACUACGAGUAAAGAUGCUCGUUACGCGCGGCAGGACGAAAAGACCCCGGGACCUUCACUACAACUUGGUAUUGAUGUUCGGUACGGUUUGUGUAGGAUAGGUGGGAGACUGUGAAACCUCGACGCCAGUUGGGGCGGAGUCGUUGUUGAAAUACCACUCUGAUCGUAUUGGGCAUCUAACCUCGAACCCUGAAUCGGGUUUAGGGACAGUGCCUGGCGGGUAGUUUAACUGGGGCGGUUGCCUCCUAAAAUGUAACGGAGGCGCCCAAAGGUUCCCUCAACCUGGACGGCAAUCAGGUGGCGAGUGUAAAUGCACAAGGGAGCUUGACUGCGAGACUUACAAGUCAAGCAGGGACGAAAGUCGGGAUUAGUGAUCCGGCACCCCCGAGUGGAAGGGGUGUCGCUCAACGGAUAAAAGGUACCCCGGGGAUAACAGGCUGAUCUUCCCCAAGAGUCCAUAUCGACGGGAUGGUUUGGCACCUCGAUGUCGGCUCGUCGCAUCCUGGGGCUGGAGCAGGUCCCAAGGGUUGGGCUGUUCGCCCAUUAAAGCGGCACGCGAGCUGGGUUUAGAACGUCGUGAGACAGUUCGGUCUCUAUCCGCCGCGCGCGUCAGAAACUUGAGGAAACCUGUCCCUAGUACGAGAGGACCGGGACGGACGAACCUCUGGUGCACCAGUUGUCCCGCCAGGGGCACCGCUGGAUAGCCACGUUCGGUCAGGAUAACCGCUGAAAGCAUCUAAGCGGGAAACCUUCUCCAAGAUCAGGUUUCUCACCCACUUGGUGGGAUAAGGCCCCCCGCAGAACACGGGUUCAAUAGGUCAGACCUGGAAGCUCAGUAAUGGGUGUAGGGAACUGGUGCUAACCGGCCGAAAACUUACAACA